rnacentral:rRNA from 1 species
UACGUAGGGUGCGAGCGUUAAUCGGAAUUACUGGGCGUAAAGCGUGCGCAGGCGGUUUUGUAAGACAGAGGUGAAAUCCCCGGGCUCAACCUGGGAACUGCCUUUGUGACUGCAAGGCUAGAGUGCGGCAGAGGGGGAUGGAAUUCCGCGUGUAGCAGUGAAAUGCGUAGAUAUGCGGAGGAACACCGAUGGCGAAGGCAAUCCCCUGGGCCUGCACUGACGCUCAUGCACGAAAGCGUGGGGAGCAAACAGGAUUAGAUACCCUGGUAGUCCACGCCCUAAACGAUGUCAACUGGUUGUUGGGUCUUUGCUGACUCAGUAACGAAGCUAACGCGUGAAGUUGACCGCCUGGGGAGUACGGCCGCAAGGUUG